rnacentral:rRNA from 1 species
AUGAACGCUGGCGGCGUGCCUAAUACAUGCAAGUCGAGCGAACAGACGAGGAGCUUGCUCCUCUGACGUUAGCGGCGGACGGGUGAGUAACACGUGGAUAACCUACCUAUAAGACUGGGAUAACUUCGGGAAACCGGAGCUAAUACCGGAUAAUAUAUUGAACCGCAUGGUUCAAUAGUGAAAGACGGUUUUGCUGUCACUUAUAGAUGGAUCCGCGCCGCAUUAGCUAGUUGGUAAGGUAACGGCUUACCAAGGCAACGAUGCGUAGCCGACCUGAGAGGGUGAUCGGCCACCCUGGAACUGAGACACGGUCCAGACUCCUACGGGAGGCAGCAGUAGGGAAUCUUCCGCAAUGGGCGAAAGCCUGACGGAGCAACGCCGCGUGAGUGAUGAAGGUCUUCGGAUCGUAAAACUCUGUUAUUAGGGAAGUACAAAUGUGUAAGUAACUAUGCACGUCUUGACGGUACCUAAUCAGAAAGCCACGGCUAACUACGUG